rnacentral:lncRNA from 1 species
UGCGAGGAGAGUUGCACUAGAGUUCUAAAUGCCGCGCUUCUUGCCAGUGUAUUUCCAUUAUGUACCAUUUUGAUGAGAGUAGGAGAGACUCUUUGAGCAACAUAGCUCUUGCUGUCAUGUCCAAGAGCAAUUUCCCCUAGGUAACCUGCCAUGUCUAUCUUCAUCUCUUCAGAACCUGUUAUUUCAUAUUUUAUCAGAGAACAACUAGAUUAUCAAGCAUUUCAUUUUAUCUGAACUUACAGAAUGGUCUCUGGUUAAACUAGUGAUCCAAAAUUUCAGUUUCUGUUUCUUAUAAUGUUUCAUUGUAACUAAAACAUUUUAUUUCAAGAUAAUCACUAAACCAUGUUUUUUGGAGAUGGCUCAGUAUGAAUGCUUGGCUAUCAUUAGUAGUUACCUUCAGCAAGAUUCUUCAGGAGGGGUUCCAUGAGUCCAUUUUCUGCCAUGCGUUUGAUGUUGUUUUGCGAAAGCUCUAAAUUCCUUAAGGUCUCUUCUGCUUUGUCUGAAGCAAAUGCAUCAUGCGACCGUCCAUAUUUAAUCGUAAUCAACAUAAGAAUAGCUCCAGUAACUGAUCCAAUUUUCUCACAUACUGUUUGUGAUCUUGAAAGCUUAAGCAAGAAAAGCAAUGAUGCAUGCCUUACAGACUGGUGACUACUAGAAAGCAUUUCAAUUAGGGUAGGAAUGUUGAUUGUUUCAGCAAUUAUUUCCUGCACAAGAUAAUACUUUGUUAGAAGUUGUAUGUAAAAAAUGGUGUACUUUAUUGAUGCAGAAGUUUCCGCAAAUCAUAGGGUUUAUCUUAUUUCAAUUCAUCAAAAGCCAAGGAAUUGAAAUUUGACCUUGCUUUCGUUAUCAUCCUCAAUCAAUUGUAGUAAAAGCUCUAGGACUGUGCUUCUAACAUCUUUGUCUUUGUACUCCAGGCACUGAACAAGCAAUGGCAAUAUUCCGACACCACGAACUUGACUGUUGUUGUACGGCUUCCUUCUGCAGAUACUUUGCACCUCUUUUACUGCUUCAAGUACCAUUGCAUCUGAACUAGCCAAGGAC